AUUGAACGCUGGCGGCAGGCCUAACACAUGCAAGUCGAACGAGUGGCGGACGGGUGAGUAAUGUCUGGGAAACUGCCUGAUGGAGGGGGAUAACUACUGGAAACGGUAGCUAAUACCGCAUACCAUCAGAUAUGCCCAGCGGGGCUUCGCUUGUUGGUGGGGUAACGGCUCACCAAGGAGACGAUCCCGAGCGGGUCUGAGAGGAUGACCAGCCAAACUGGAACUGGGCCACGGUCCAGACGCCUACGGGAGGAAGAAGUGGGGAAUAUUGCACAAUGGGCGAAAGCCUGAUGCAGCCAUGCCGCGUGGAUGAAGAAGGCCUUCGGGUUGUAAAGUACUUUCAGCGGGGAGGCGUUACCCGCAGAAGAAGCACCGGCUAACUCCGUGCCAGCAGCCGCGGUAAUAC
rnacentral:rRNA from 1 species